rnacentral:lncRNA from 1 species
GGAGUUUGAUUAAGCUUGAAAAUUCAUAAUAAUAGAAGCUAUGUUUUACAUCAUAUUGUUUUCUUUUUACAAAAUUUUUAUAUGAUAAGAACAGUGUUUUUAUUGGUAAUGCAAUCAAUGAUCAUACAUCUUUGAAAAGUAUGCUUUUAUCGCCCUGAAAUAAUAGUCAUUGCAUUUAUGCCUCAGACUGCCAUACAUCAUUAACAGAAUCAACUUGGUUUAAUAUUCAGGGGGGGAUGUUAUAUUUGUGACUAAAGGUUCAUACUAUUUGAUCGAGUCUUGAUAGCUUCUCAUUGUAUAUGCAACACGUCUGAAUAUGACCAAAUUAAGGAUGUAUGCCCUGGACUGAAUAUGAUAAUAAGUUCACCUGAAUAUGAUUAAUAUGAUUUCUGAAUAUGUGUGGUAGAUAAUGUGAAGAAUAUCUGGUCCUAGGAAUACUCAUAUUUGGACAUGUUGCUGAUUGAUUCCUUUAGUUGUUUUCAGAUAGUACCAUUAUUGUCUUGGAAUCUCUGUCCUUUCUUAGGUAGAGAUAUAAUUCUCCUUUUCCUUGUUCUGUCAUGCAUACUAUUGGAAAAGCUACUAGCUGUUCAUCCAAAGAAUCGUCCAACUGCAGAAGAGGUAAUCCUUUGGUGCUCUCUUACCUUAAUUUUUCUGGUGCAUCGGUUCCAUAUAUGACAGAUGUUCCAUAUUC